GACGGAGGAGGCAAGCGUUAUCCGGAAUUAUUGGGCGUAAAGCGUCCGCAGGUGGCUUUCCAAGUCUGCUGUCAAAGCCCGAGGCUUAACCUCGGAUCGGCGGUGGAAACUGGGGCGCUAGAGUACGUCAGGGGUAGGGGGAAUUCCCGGUGUAGCGGCGAAAUGCGUAGAUAUCGGGAAGAACACCAGCGACGAAAGUGCCCUACUGGUACGUUACUGACACUCAUGGACGAAAGCUAGGGGAGCGAAAGGG
rnacentral:rRNA from 1 species